GUGUUUCAGCAGUGCAUAUACUAAAAUUGGAACGAUACAGAGAAGACUAGCAUGGCCCCUGCACA
ensembl:snRNA U6 U6 spliceosomal RNA